AAGUCGUAACAAGGUUUCCGUAGGUGAACCUGCGGAAGGAUCAUUAAUACGUUCUAAACAAACGUUUUAAACUCCAAAAUUUUAAUAGUGGAAAUCUAACUUCCGGAUGCAUUUGUAGGGAGGGGAAGAUUAGACCUUAAAAAAGUCUGGUUUUCUCCUUUUUGAAAAGGAAACUUCAUGCACUUCUUGUGAGUGUGUGACACUUCAGAGUAGAGCAGUGAGGUGAAAACUUCGGUUUUGGUUUCUGAAAUACAUCUGUAUCCGGUUAUUCUCUGUUCUACACCCUUUUUAUUAAACAAUAAACCCCAUGUACAACAACUUGAGCUAACAAAUUUUGUUUUCUCUUUGAGGAAAUGAAGUAAAUCUGAACUUAAGAACAACUCUUAACAAUGGAUAUCUUGGUUCUC
rnacentral:misc_RNA from 1 species